CCUACGGGUGGCAGCAGUGGGGAAUAUUGGGCCAUGGGCGCAAGCCUGACCCAGCACCGCCGCGUGAAGGAAGAAGGCUUUCGGGUUGUAAACUUCUUUUUUCAGGGAAGAGUAGAAGACGGUACCUGACGAAUAAGCCACGGCUAACUACGUGCCAGCAGCCGCGGUAAUACGUAGGUGGCAAGCGUUGUCCGGAUUUACUGGGUGUAAAGGGAGCGUAGGCGGCGAUGCAAGUCAGAAGUGAAAGCCCGGGGCGCAACUCCGGGACUGCUUUUGAAACUGUAUGGCUAGAUUGCAGGAGAGGCAAGUGGAAUUCCUAGUGUAGCGGUGAAAUGCGUAGAUAUUAGGAGGAACACCAGUGGCGAAGGCGGCUUGCUGGACUGUAAAUGACGCUGAGGCUCGAAAGCGUGGGGAGCAAACAGGAUUAGAUACCCCAGUAGUC
rnacentral:rRNA from 1 species